rfam:Nonlabens marinus S1-08 DNA, nearly complete genome.
GGGGUCGACUGGUUUUGACAGCGAGACCGAGUUGAUUGUAAGCAUGUAGAGCGCUGGAACAUAGCUCUUAAAUAUCAUGAUUCAACUUUUUUAAACGGCGAGAAUAACUACGCCCUAGCAGCAUAAUCCGAAUCAUAGUAGGAUGUGCCUCGGCCCACUAGGUGGGCAUGCAGGAAUUCUCUCAAAGGCCUUGGUUUAUGGCACUUGAUCUAGAGAAUUCGUAAAAAUAGACCUAUCCCCAUCAGGGCUUUGAUGAUGGAGAGACACUCAAUUGAAGAUAAGGGAUGCGUUGGUGGUUUCUGACCGGCAACUCCACGAAAAGUUAAACAGAAACUAAACAUGUAGAAAGCGAUGAAGUCGCUCGUUUGGACGAGGGUUCGAAUCCCUCCGACUCCACAC